rfam:Microgenomates (Collierbacteria) bacterium GW2011_GWB2_44_22 TW44_C0005, whole genome shotgun sequence.
GCCGAGGUGGCGAAAUGGUAGACGCACUACCUUGAGGUGGUAGCGGGAGCAAUCCUGUGGAGGUUCAAGUCCUCUCCUCGGCA